GGGGGCGUAGCUCAGUGGUAGAGCAGCUGGCUCUUAACCAGCUUGUCGUGAGUCCGAUUCUCACCGCCCUCA
rnacentral:tRNA from 1 species